GCCUGGGUGGCUCAGUCGGUUGAGCAUCCGACUUCGGCUCAGGUCAUGAUCUCGCGGUCCGUGAGUUCGAGCCCCGCGUCAGGCU
rnacentral:tRNA from 1 species